AGGGAAUCUUCGGCAAUGGACGAAAGUCUGACCGAGCAACGCCGCGUGAAGGAAGAAGGCUUUCGGGUUGUAAACUUCUUUUACCAGGGACGAAGGACGUGACGGUACCUGGAGAAAAAGCAACGGCUAACUACGUUCCAGCAGCCGCGGUAAUACGUAGGUUGCAAGCGUUGUCCGGAUUUACUGGGUGUAAAGGGCGUGUAGGCGGAGAAGCAAGUUGGGAGUGAAAUCCAUGGGCUCAACCCAUGAACUGCUCUCAAAACUGUUUCCCUUGAGUAUCGGAGAGGCAAGCGGAAUUCCUAGUGUAGCGGUGAAAUGCGUAGAUAUUAGGAGGAACACCAGUGGCGAAGGCGGCUUGCUGGACGACAACUGACGCUGAGGCGCGAAAGCGUGGGGAGCAAACAGG
rnacentral:rRNA from 1 species